rnacentral:rRNA from 1 species
UAGGGAAUCUUCCACAAUGGACGCAAGUCUGAUGGAGCAACGCCGCGUGAGUGAAGAAGGUUUUCGGACCGUAAAGCUCUGUUGUUGGUGAAGAAGGAUAGAGGUAGUAACUGGCCUUUAUUUGACGGUAAUCAACCAGAAAGUCACGGCUAACUACGUGCCAGCAGCCGCGGUAAAUACGUAGGUGGCAAGCGUUGUCCGGAUUUAUUGGGCGUAAAGCGAGCGCAGGCGGAAGAAUAAGUCUGAUGUGAAAGCCCUCGGCUUAACCGAGGAAUUGCAUCGGAAACUGUUUUUCUUGAGUGCAGAAGAGGAGAGUAGAACUCCAUGUGUAGCGGUGGAAUGCGUAGAUAUAUGGAAGAAUACCAGUGGCGAAGGCGGCUCUCUGGUCUGCAACUGACGCUGAGGCUCGAAAAGCAUGGGUAGCGAACAGGAUUAGAUACCCUGGUAGUCCAUGCCGUAAAACGAUGAGUGCUAAGUGUUGGGAGGCUUCCGCCUCUCAGUGCUGCAGCUAAACGCA